rnacentral:lncRNA from 1 species
UAAAUACAGAAGUUGCAUAAUAGAAAAACCAUAAACAAAAAGAAGAAGAUUAUUUAAGGCUUCUUUAACAAAUAGCAUUUUAUCUUUUUCAUCAUAUCAUCAUAUGAUGUAUAUAUUUAGUUAUGUAAUAAUUUUUUUUUAGAACUUUAGUCUAUCAAAUUUGCAAUUUUAAUUUGGUAUUAAUAAAUUCGUUUCGAAAAAAAAAAUCAUAGAAUAAGGAACGUAUAAUUUCAUACAAAGCAAUUUCCUACUCCAA